rnacentral:tRNA from 1 species
GGUCAUGUGCCCUAGUGGUCAUGGCAUCUGCCCGGUAAGCGGGAGGUCGUGGGUUCGAUUCCCGUCCCUUGACACU